rnacentral:rRNA from 1 species
CAUGCUAGACGAGUUUGAGUCAUGGCUCAGAACGAACGCUGGCGGCAGGCCUAACACAUGCAAGUCGAGCGAACCCUCGGGUUAGCGGCGGACGGGUGAGUAACGCGUGGGAACGUGCCCUUUGCUACGGAAUAGCCCCGGGAAACUGGGAGUAAUACCGUAUGUGCCCUUCGGGGGAAAGAUUUAUCGGCAAAGGAUCGGCCCGCGUUGGAUUAGGUAGUUGGUGGGGUAAUGGCCUACCAAGCCGACGAUCCCAUAGCCUGGUUUGAGAGGAUGAUCAGCCACACUGGGACUGAGACACGGCCCAGACUCCUACGGGAGGCAGCAGUGGGGAAUCUUAGACAAUGGGCCGCAAGCCUGAUCUAGCCAUGCCGCGUGAUCGAUGAAGGCCUUAGGGUUGUAAAGAUCUUUCAGUGGGGAAGAUAAUGACUGUACCCACAGAAGAAGCCCCGGCUAACUCCGUG